GACAGAGGAUGCAAGCGUUGUCCGGAUUUAUUGGGCGUAAAGAGCUCGUAGGCGGUUUGUCGCGUCGGCUGUGAAAUUUCGGGGCUUAACUCCGGGCUGGCAGUCGAUACGGGCAGACUUGAGUUCGGUAGGGGAGACUGGAAUUCCUGGUGUAGCGGUGGAAAUGCGCAGAUAUCAGGAGGAACACCGGUGGCGAAGGCGGGUCUCUGGGCCGUAACUGACGCUGAGGAGCGAAAGCGUGGGGAGCGAACAGG
rnacentral:rRNA from 1 species